GCCUCCGUAGCUCAGUGGUAGAGCGCCUGUCUCGUAAACAGGAGGUCGCGAGUUCAAUCCUCGUCGGAGGCU
rnacentral:tRNA from 2 species